rnacentral:rRNA from 1 species
UAGGGAAUAUUGGUAAUCUGGGAAACCGGGAACCAGCAACGCCGCGUGCGCGAUGAAGGCCUUCGGGUUAUAAAGCGCUUUUUAAAGGGAUGAGGAAGGACAGUACCUUUAGAAUAAGCCUCGGCUAACUACGUGCCAGCAGCCGCGGUAAAACGUAGGAGGCGAGCGUUAUCCGGAUUUACUGGGCGUAAAGCGUGUGCAGGCGGUUUGAUAAGUUGGGUGUGAAAGCUCCUGGCUUAACCGGGAGAGGUCGUUCAAAACUAUCAGACUAGAGAGUGGUAGAGGGAGAUGGAAUUCCGCGUGUAGUGGUGAAAUGCGUAGAUAUGCGGGGGAACACCAGUGGCGAAAGCGGUCUCCUGGCCCAUUUCUGACGCUCAGACACGAAAGCUAAGGUAGCAAACGG